AUAUUGGUCAAUGGAGGCAACUCUGAACCAGCCAUGCCGCGUGCAGGAUGACGGACCUAUGGUUUGUAAACUGCUUUUAUACGGGAAAAAACCUCACUACGUGUAGAGAGCUGAUGGUACCGUAAGAAUAAGGAUCGGCUAACUCCGUGCCAGCAGCCGCGGUAAUACGGAGGAUCCAAGCGUUAUCCGGAUUCAUUGGGUUUAAAGGGUGCGUAGGCGGAAUAGUAAGUCAGUGGUGAAAGCCCUUCGCUUAACGAAGGAACUGCCAUUGAUACUGCUAAUCUUGAGUACAUUUGAUGUGGGCGGAAUGUGUCGUGUAGCGGUGAAAUGCUUAGAUAUGACACAGAACACCGAUUGCGAAGGCAGCUCACAAAACUGUAACUGACGCUGAGGCACGAAAGCGUGGGGAUCGAAC
rnacentral:rRNA from 1 species